CGCGUAGGUGGGAUAUUAAGUCUAUUCUAAAAGUGCGGGGCUCAACCCCGUAAUGGGAUGGAAGCUAAUAUUCUUGAGUACCGGAGAGGAAAGCGGAAUUCCCAGUGUAGCGGUGAAAUGCGUAGAUAUUGGGAGGAACACCAGUGGCGAAGGCGGCUUUCUGGACGGUGUCUGACACUGAGGCGCGAAAGCUAGGGGAGCGAACGGGAUUAGAUACCCCGGUAGUCCUAGCCGUAAACGAUGGGUACUAGGUGUAGGAGGUAUCGACCCCUUCUGUGCCGGAGUUAACGCAAUAAGUACCCCGCCUGGGGAGUACGGCCGCAAGGUUGAA
rnacentral:rRNA from 1 species